rnacentral:rRNA from 1 species
AGCGAACGUUAGCGGCGCGCCUAACACAUGCAAGUCGCACGAGAAAGGGAGCAAUCCCCGGUACAGUGGCGCACGGGUGAGUAACACGUAGAUGACCUUCCCUGGAGUGGUGGAUAACCUGCCGAAAGGCGGGCUAAUACAGCAUGGGACCACAUGGUUUUGACCGAGUGGUGAAAGCGGGCCUCUGUUCACAAGCUCGCGCUCUGGGAUGGGUCUGCGUCCCAUCAGCUAGUUGGUGAGGUAAUGGCUCACCAAGGCAUUCGACGGGUAGCUGGUCUGAGAGGAUGACCAGCCACACUGGAACUGAGACACGGGUCCAGACUCCUACGGGAGG